rnacentral:lncRNA from 1 species
UCUUGAUUCGGAUCCAUUAGAAACAAAAGAACCCCUUAUCCCUCUUUUGCAGAAACCCUAGCGUCAAAAUCUCUUAGCCAAUCUCUAAGCCAAUUCCUUCUUCUUCCCUUCAAUGCACAGCGAUCUACAAGAUGAUAAAGGCGUUUGGUUUAUGAUGUGCUUUUGAAGCAGGCAACUUUAGUUAAAGAUCAAGUUAUUGAGGCUAAACUAGAUAUUAUGCUUCUUUAAAUAGUUGGGUUAUUGAGUGAAUCUUUUGGUCUUUUGACAGAAGUGAAGAAGUUUGUUCAGAGUAUGCCAAGACACUCUAUUUAGAUGAUGUUGCUUCAGUUGCACUCAUUCCAACUCCAGUUUCAGUUUCAACAAAUCCAAAGUGGCUACUGAACUCGCAUUAAAAUACAUUACACUUAGACCUUUCAGCUGGGAUCAAGAUACUGACAAAGUCAAGGGUAAUACCAACGGUUCUAGGAACAAAACCAGAAUUACUCAGACAAUUUAUGUGUUCUUUUGAACGAAGAUAGAAUCUUGAUUAUAAAAAAGAACUCCAAAUCUAAUGAAUCUGUAUGGUUUCUUGAGGUAAGUAUUCACAUUUAUUGAUCUUGAAAUGAUAGCGUUCAUUAGGUUUUAUUAGGUGGACACACAAUUUAGACGAGAACAAAAAAGUUUGAAACAAAAGUUGUUGCUUGGAGUAAGGGGUUAUUGGUAAUGCUGAGCGGCCCAUAGUAAUUAGUAGCCCGUGUAUGUCGGGUUUGUAAUAUGUCAAAAACGUUUUGUCAAGUGAUGGUUUGAUUUGAAUUCACUAAAUUUUAUGGUUUGCAAGUAUAUCAUGAAGAUAUGAAGAUGUUUUGAUGAUGAUACCAAGUUUAAACCACUAUAACUAAAUGAAAUUAUUCUGACUUAUUUAGAGAUGUAUGAACAAUUUAUAUAUUUUGUUUAAAAAUUAUGUGUAUUUAAUUUUCAACU